rnacentral:snRNA from 1 species
UGCACCGGAUCCCAUCAGAA